rfam:Candidatus Levybacteria bacterium RBG_16_35_6 RBG_16_scaffold_37466, whole genome shotgun sequence.
GUCCCUGUAGCUCAGCCUGGAUUUAGAGCACUCCCGUCCUAAGGGAGGUGUCGAGGGUUCGAAUCCCUCCAGGGACU